GAUGAACGCUGGCGGCGUGCCUAAUACAUGCAAGUCGAGCGAACGGAUAAGGAGCUUGCUCCUUUGAAGUUAGCGGCGGACGGGUGAGUAACACGUGGGUAACCUACCUAUAAGACUGGAAUAACUUCGGGAAACCGGAGCUAAUGCCGGAUAACAUUUGGAACUGCAUGGUUCUAAAGUAAAAGAUGGUUUUGCUAUCACUUAUAGAUGGACCCGCGCCGUAUUAGCUAGUUGGUAAGGUAACGGCUUACCAAGGCAACGAUACGUAGCCGCCCUGAGAGGGUGAUCGGCCACACUGGAACUGAGACACGGUCCAGACGCCUACGGGAGGCAGCAGUAGGGAAUCUUCCGCAAUGGACGAAAGUCUGACGGAGCAACGCCGCGUGAGUGAUGAAGGUUUUCGGAUCGUAAAACUCUGUUAUUAGGGAAGAACAAAUGUGUAAGUAACUGUGCACAUCUUGACGGUACCUAAUCAGAAAGCCACGGCUAACUACGUGCCAGCCGCCGCGGUAA
rnacentral:rRNA from 1 species